UACGUAGGGGGCAAGCGGUUGUCCGGAAUUAUUGGGCGUAAAGAGCGCGUAGGCGGUCCGGUAAGUCAGCUGUGAAAGUCAAGGGCUCAACCCUUGAAAGCCGGUUGAUACUGUCGGGCUAGAGUCCGGAAGAGGCGAGUGGAAUUCCCGGUGUAGCGGUGAAAUGCGCAGAUAUCGGGAGGAACACCAAUGGCGAAGGCAGCUCGCUGGGACGGUACUGACGCUGAGGCGCGAAAGCG
rnacentral:rRNA from 1 species